GUACUUUUGAAAAUACAGUGUCUGUGCGGAUUCGUUUGGGGGAUUCGUUUAUGCGGAUCCUCGUAGAGAUUACCCCAUUCAGGUGUAGUAAAAUAUUGAUCCAACGAAUUUAUGUAUUACAUAGCAUAUUUUUAUAAGAUCUUAUCAACAUAAAAAUAUUGAUCCAACGAAUAUAAAAUAGUGUUUUUAUAUUAUUUUUUUAUAUAAAACAACUAAAAAUACAUAUGGUUAGAAAGACAUAUUUUUAGGAUCAGUAGUGUUAGAUGCAAUUGUUAUAGAGACAACCAUGUUUGUCACAUGAAAGACAAAAACAUGUAAAAUUAAAGGAACAUAAAACUUGUUGUAUAGGAACCUAUAUUUCUCACCUCAAAACUUGAAAUUAAGAACUUAUCAAGAAUCGAAAGAGAGACGAUAGUAUGAAAAGACAAAUGACGGCUAGAAUAUAAACUUGACACACUUCCAUGCACAACUAAAGGUCGACAAUAUGUAACAAAAAUUGAAACAACAGUAAAGGGCCAAACUAGAGUUGAAAAUAAAUAGAAUUAUAACUUCAAGGUCCAUGAAAUUAAGUAAAAAAGGGAAGAAAAAAAUACAAUUAUUCGGUACAUGAACAAAAAUGAAAUGACAGUUUAUGGAAUAUUCUAGGAUAAGGUAUAUUGUAAAAUUAUUUUGCUAGCACAAGAACUCAUGGUGUGAAUUUAUGGAUUUGUAUACAAAAGCCUUUACGACAUCUAACAUUAUUAAUUUUCAUUUGUGGACAAUCUUUAUCCGUAAUACAUGGAGGAGGCUUACGAAAAUAAAUAGAAUCAUAUACUACCAUCAAUUGAAAUAUGGAAAGAAAUAGAAACAUAACAUAAACAUACUUUAGAGUUUCAACCAUAUUUUUUUUCUUUUUGCACUUAAAAUCUAGGAUAUUAUUUGAUCUCUUUAUAGUCUGUAAAGUUCAUGCUCUCAUAGAAAUGAUUAAAUAGUUUAAGACUUUAUGAAAUAUUUAAAACCCUUCAUAAAAUUAUAAUAAUUAUUAAAAGUCUCUUAAGUAUAUUAAUGUGUCGUGUUUGUCCCUUAACACUUAGAAAUGAGGUAAUACAAUAAACUUGAUAAUCAUAAGAAUCAAAUAUUAUUUAACUAACUUAUGAUUACUUUUUACUUCAAAAAAUCCGUUAUCUUUUUAACUUUUUGUGAUAGUAAAGCAUUUUUUUUGGGACCAUGGUAAAUA
rnacentral:lncRNA from 1 species